GAACACAUAUUGCGCCCUCUGGUAUUCCGGAGGGCAUGCCUGUCCGAGCGUCAUUGCUACCCUCAAGCGCAGCUUGUUUGUUGAGCCCGAUUGUCCCUUAAUGGACAGGCUCGAAAUGCAGUGGCGAUGCCGAGUUUGGUGCCCGAGCGUAUGGAGCUUUGUCACACGCUUUGGUGGCCCAGCCGGCAUUCUGUCGACCUUGAUACAUUAUCUAAGAUUUGACCUCGGAUCAGGUAGGAAUACCCGCUGAACUUAAG
rnacentral:misc_RNA from 1 species